UCGAGAAUCUUUCGCAAUGCCCGAAAGGGUGACGAAGCGACGCCGCGUGCGGGAGGAAGGCCUUCGGGUUGUAAACCGCUGUCGGGAGUUAAGAAAUGCAAGGGUGUUAACAGCGUCCUUGCUUGACUAAGGCUCCGGAGGAAGCCACGGCUAACUCUGCGCCAGCAGCCGCGGUAAUACAGAGGCGGCAAGCGUUGUUCGGAAUUAUUGGGCGUAAAGAGCACGUAGGCGGCUGUGUAAGUCGGUUGUGAAAGCCUUCCGCUCAACGGAAGAAGCGCAUCCGAUACUGCAUAGCUCGAGUGCGGGAGGGGAGAGUGGAACUUCUGGUGGAGCGGUGAAAUGCGUAGAUAUCAGAAGGAACACCGGCGGCGAAGGCGACUCUCUGGUCCGUAACUGACGCUGAGUGUGCGAAAGCUAGGGGAGCAAACGGGAUUAGAUACCCUUGUAG
rnacentral:rRNA from 1 species